AGAUGAAACAUGCUGUGCUGGUUUCUGAAAACCAAGAAGCCUGGAGAGAAAUUUAUGACUUUGAAACAAAAUUUAGAGGUUGAAGGAUUUAGCAGUUUGCAAAGAACAUGGAGCUAAGCCCUUGAAAAAGGCUGUUCAAAAAGUCCUGGCCUAAAGUGCCAAGGUCGUUUUCAGAAGUCCCCGCAGAAGCUCUUAGGAAUCGGAAAGCGUAAAAAUGGGGAGAGAGUAUUUUGAAGACAUCUUUCCCCUGAAAGCUGUUGCUUGUGAGCCUGUGCAUUUUCCCACACGAAUAUGCUCGGCCGUUAUGUUAGCCAGGCAUUUCCUGCAUGCGGCAGUUCUGGAGGCCGGAAGUCCAGGGUCAAGGUGACAGUGGAUUCGUUUCCUGGUGAGGACCCUCUUCCUGGUUUGUACAUGUGAUUCCUAGCAGUCUCCAUUUUGAAGUUCUCUUCUCCUUUGACCAAGCGUCCAGCACAUCCUCACAACACUCCAAAGCCACCUUGAAGACUCUCUUCAAAGCAGUUCUUACUGUUGAUACCACCACCAUUGUUCCGACACAUGAAGCAGGAGGACCCAAGGCCAGAGGUCAUGGUGGAGAGAUGAGCAGAUAGUCCUCAAAGGCAGACAGGGCUGGGGUUGGAGAGGAAUUCCCUAAUAGCUGUUAUAAAUGGAGAUAUGACAGGUGUGAACAAACAACCUAGGACUGGAAGAAAGAAGAGGGAGGAGUCGGGUAGAGAUAGUACUUGGAGUGGAUGCCCAGGCUGUGUAGUGACAUAAAGGGGCUUAAAGAGGGCUUAGGGAGCAGAUCUGAGAGGAAGAGAAUGAAGGAAGGUAAGGAAUUCAGUCUUUGGCAUUCUGAUACGUUGUGAGGGCUGGGGGUGGUGACCGACUAGAUUCAGGGAACCUGAGGGCUGGGUGUUGGUUUGUGUUCUUGAAAUUACUUCCUCAGGAUUUCACAUCUAACCAAAUAUUAACAAUCAUUUACUAAAUAAAUAUUGUUCUGUCCCUGGAUGGGCAGAUGGGAGUGUUAUGCCUGCCCCUCCCCAUCCCCCACCAAAAAAAUAACAAAGGCAGUUUAAUUCAUGACCCCAAGGCUGUCACAAUCCAGACUAAGAAGUGCCCUGAGAGCCUGGUGGGAUCAUCUUGGUGCACAGACCCAGUAUCCAGGGGAUCUGAGUGGCCAAGGAACACCCAGAACUCCUGCCUCCCAUAAGUGCAAGGCUGAGCAUAGCAAAGUAUGAAGAGGGAAGGCUCUUCUAACACUGAAGUACGUAGGAGCAGACUUUUCAGUAAGAAGAAAAGUCCCAGAAAUUCAGAUUAGAUUAUAAACAAAUUAUAAAGCGAUAAGCUGGCUGAAACAAUAAUAUUCAAAUUAGUUCAAUUCAGCAAGUACAUAUGAGUGCUUCUGUGUGCCCAUCCUGGGCUAGUCCACUUGAGGGAAUGGACACAGGAGAAAUGAACAGGGUUUAAAGGGGAGGUAUUUCUUCAGGCACAAAGCUCUGCAGAUGGCUGCCUCUCCACUGGGCACCCCAUGACAAUUCACACAAGAUCUCUCCCAAGACCUCUCAAAGCAAUUCUUUUAAGACCUCAGUCCCUGCCCCCAAGCAGCCAGGAGUCUGUUUCACUGGUAUCAGAUCAAGCAGACCCUUCCUGAAGCUUUUGUAGAGAAAUGGAAGUGAUUUGGUUAAAACAGGGAAUUUCGGCUGGGUGCAGUGGCUCACACCUGUAAUCCUAGCACUUUGGGAGACCCAGGCGGGCAGAUUGUCUGGGCUCAGGAGUUUGAGACCAGCCUGGGCAACAUAGCUAAACUCUGUCUGUACUAAAAAUACAACAACAACAACAAAAAA
ensembl:lncRNA novel transcript